CUUAGGCAUGCAGUCGACGAGGGGUGUGGAAGGUAACGGAAGCACAUUUAGUGGCGAACGGGGGAGGAAUAGAUAGGUAACGUACCCUGGACUCAGGAAUAGCGGCGGAACUUCGGUUCCUUUGCGAAAGUGCCGGUAAUACCUGAUGACAUCAUUGGAUCGCAUGGUCCGAUGAUCAAAGGUCCGCAGGUCCGGGAGCGGCCUAUCUCCUAUCAGCUUUUUGGGGGGGUAACGGCCUACCAAGGCGGCGACAGGUACCAGGCGUGAGAGCGCGAUCUGGCACAUCGGGACUGAGACACUGCCCGGACAUCUACGGAUGGCUGCAGCAACGAAUAUUCCGCAAUGGGCGAAAGCCUGACGGAGCGACGCCGCGUGUAGGAUGAAGCACUUCGGGGUGUAAACUACUGUCAGGGGUUAGGAAGACAGUGACCAACCCCAAAGGAAGCCUCGGCUAACUCCGUGCCAGCAGCCGCGGUAAUACGGAGGAGGCAAGCGUUUUUCGGAAUUACUGGGCUUAAAGCGUGCGUAGGCGGGAUGGCAGGGGUCGUGUGAAAGCCCUCGGCUCAACCGAGGAAUUGCUCGGCAAACCGUCAUUUUUGAGGCCAGCAGGGGGACCUGGAACUUUGGGGGGAGCGGGGAAAUGCGUAGAUAUCCAAGGGAACGCCGGGGGCGAAAGCGAGGUCCUGGGUCUGGG
rnacentral:rRNA from 1 species